rnacentral:rRNA from 1 species
UCGCAGUCCGAGUUGUAGUCUAUAGAAGCAUGAUCCGCGCCGGCCCUUGGGCAUGUCUGUUGGAACGCAGUGUCAAAGAGGGUGAAAAUCCCGUACAUACCAAGGACGACCGUGUGCAUUGUGGUCUGCUCUCUAAGAGUCGAGUUGUUUGGGAAUGCAGCUCUAAUUGGGUGGUAAAUUCCAUCUAAAGCUAAAUAUCGACGAGAGACCGAUAGCGAACAAGUACAGUAAUGGAAAGAUGAAAAGUAGCCUGCAGAGGCAAUGAAACAAUACGUGAAACCGUUUGUAGGGAAGCGAUGGAACCUUUUCACGCUGCGAGGGUUCAGCUUGGCUUCGGCUUAGUGUAUUCCCUCGUUUUGCGGACCAGCAUCAGUUUGCUUCGCAGUAUAAGGGUGAUUGGAACGUGGCUUCUCCGGAAGUGUUAUAGCCUUUCACUGGAUGCUGUGUCGCAGACUGAGGACUGCAGUGCGCCGUAAGGCAUGGUCUUCGGGCCACGAGCACUUAGGAUGCUGGGCGAAUGGGUUUCAACGACCCGUCUUGAA